CCUACGGGAGGCAGCAGUGAGGAAUAUUGGUCAAUGGGCGAGAGCCUGAACCAGCCAAGUCGCGUGAAGGAUGACGGCCCUACGGGUUGUAAACUUCUUUUGUCAGGGAGCAAUUGAGUCCACGUGUGGUCUUAGCGAGAGUACCUGACGAAAAAGCAUCGGCUAACUCCGUGCCAGCAGCCGCGGUAAUACGGAGGAUGCGAGCGUUAUCCGGAUUUAUUGGGUUUAAAGUGUGCGUAGGCGGAAUAUCAAGUCAGCGGUAAAAAGUCGGGGCUCAACUCCGUCGUGCCGGUGAAAAUGAUGUUCUUGAGUGGGCGAGAGGUAUGGGGAAUGCGUGGUGUAGCGGUGAAAUGCAUAGAUAGAAGGCAGAACACCGAUUGCGAAGGCAGCAUACCGGCGCCCAACUGACGCUGAAGCACGAAAGCGUGGGUAUCGAACAGGAUUAGAUACCCUAGUAGUC
rnacentral:rRNA from 1 species